CAUUCUGUUGUAUAUACGUGUGACUUGAUCCUGGCACGUAUAUGAUUGCUCGGUUUAUGUCUUUUUAUAAACCGGGUGUUACACGGUAGCAGUUGUUUAGCCAAUGCACCAGCAGCAGCGUCUGUCACCAGCUUGGGCAGCAUAGGUUUUGAUGGUUGCUGGCAGGAGAUUCAGUCUUUUUUCCUGCAGGAAGAUAGUUCUGUCUGAGAAAUAUGAUUUCAGAAAGCUCCAGGAUGAGCUGCAAUUGUGUGCACUGAUCCUUUCCUACUCACCAAAGGAUGAAAGCACAUGGAGCCAUAGAUACACCUUGUGCACUUCUUCAAAGAAUUAAACCAGCGUGCCUGUGAAACUCUUUCAGAUAAAAGAGUUGUAUCCUCUACCUAUCUAUUUGGAGCUGGCUUCACUUGGCACCAAAUUUUCAUGUUGAUUUGUAAUAACAAUAAAAUCAUGUAGAGUUUAAAGUUAUUGUUUGCUGCAGGAGCUGGGUGUUAAAACAAGUUGCAGAGCAACAUCAAGAUAUGUCAGAGCUUGUAGAGAAGGAAUCGGUAUUGCAUUAUGUUUGAUUGAGUAGCAGCGGCGGCAGGAGUUGUUUUGUCGCGGCAACAACAACAAUGGCUAUCAUCAUCAGCUUGGGUAGGUAAGCAGAUUAGCACUCAGCAAGGUUUCAGAUGUCAGGUUUAUGGAUUUUAUUUUUCAUGCUAUAUUGAUGCUACUGCUAGUUCCAUUAUUCAAUCACUGGUUGCUUGCUUUGUUCGGUCGAUUGAGUAGUUCAUUAGUUUAUUUACUAAAAUGAAUUUUAGCUCAUGUGCUUUUGUUCAUCUCAUUUGACCUGCAUAGUAGUUUUUCUAGCAUCAUUCGCAGAUGAAGGCAACUGCAGCUUAACUUUUAUCAAGAGAAAUUAAACAACGAUGAGAUGAGAAGACUACUUUUUAUGUCGAUGUUUUCUAUGAAGUAAAAUGCUAGUUUUGCAGGCAUUUCAUCUCGAUUUUGCCCUAUUUUGAUGAAGAAACAAUGUUGUUUUGAAGUAAACCAUUUUUGAUUGGAUUUUGUCUACAAUUUACUGAAGUUUCACCUCUCCGCUCGAGGGUGACAGGAAUAACAACAUCUCAAUUCCUCUUGUUUGAUUGAGUAGCAGCAGCGGUAGGAGUUGUUUUGUCGUGGCAACAACAACAAUGGCUAUCAUCGGCUUGGGUAGGUAAGCAGAUCAGCACUCAGCAAGGUUUCCGAUGUCAGGUUUAUGGAUUUUAUUUUUCAUGCUAUAGUGAUGCUACUGCUAGUUCCAUUAUUUAAUCAUUGGUUGCUUGCUUUGGUUGGUCAGUUAAGUAGCUCAUUAGUUUAUUCACUUAAAUGAUUUUGUCUAUGAAGUAAAAUGCUACUUCUAUGUGUGUGGAUAAGAGGAGCAAUUAAAGAAUGAGAUGAGAAGAACUACUUUACGCGGAUGUUCUGUCCUUGAAGCAAAAUGCAACUUUUGUAGGGAUUUCAUCUCGAUUUGCCCUGUUUUGGUGAAGAAACAAAUGUUGUUUUGAAUCAUGGUCAUUA